rnacentral:rRNA from 1 species
GUGCCAGCGCCGCGGUAAUACCGGCAGCUCGAGUGAUGGCCGAUCUUAUUGGGCCUAAAGCGUCCGUAGCUGGCCUCGCAAGUCCGUCGGGAAAUCCAGUAGCUCAACUACUGGGCGUCCGGCGGAAACUACAAGGCUUGGGACCGGAAGGCUCGAGGGGUACGUCCGGGGUAGGAGUGAAAUCCUGUAAUCCUGGACGGACCGCCGAUGGCGAAAGCACGUCGGGAAGACGGAUCCGACGGUGAGGGACGAAAGCCAGGGUCUCCAACCGGAUUAGAAACCCCAGUAGUCC